GACGAACGCUGGCGGCGUGCUUAACACAUGCAAGUCGAGCGGAAAGGCUCCUUCGGGGGUACUCGAGCGGCGAACGGGUGAGUAACACGUGAGUAAUCUGCCCCUGGCUUUGGGAUAGCCACCGGAAACGGUGAGUAAUACCGGAUAUGACCACUACACGCACGUGUUGGUGGUGGAAAGUUUUUCGGCCAGGGAUGUGCUCGCGGCCUAUCAGCUUGAUGGUGAGGGAAUGGCUCACCAUGGCUUCGACGGGUAGCCGGCCUGAGAGGGUGACCGGUCACCCUGGGACUGAGACAAGGCCCAGACUCCUACGGGAGGCAGCAGUGGGGAAUAUUGGACAAUGGGCGGAAGCCUGAUCCAGCAACGCCGCGUGAGGGAUGACGGCCUUCGGGUUGUAAACCUCUUUCAGUACCGACGAAGCGCAAGUGACGGUAGGUACAGGAGAAGCACCGGCCAACUACGUGCCAGCCGCCGCAGUAAAAC
rnacentral:rRNA from 1 species